rnacentral:lncRNA from 10 species
CAAAAGAGCUGUUUGGAUAAGCUCUUUGCCGAAGAAUAACGUGAGAAGGAAUUAUGUCUCUGAAUACUUUCUUACCCCAUCAAAUAUGAGCAGAUUUGGCUUGUGAAUUAGUUAAAAUACUUCAGGCUGAAAGUAGCCACAAAUUGAUUCAAACAAAACAAGAAGUCCAAGUAGGACCUGCUAAAAAUUAGGUGAGUUAAGUGCUAAACAACAUUGUUAAGAACUCAGUUCAUUUUCAUCUCUUGUGCCCUGCUCAACGUUGUAAAUACCAUUGUUAAUAGCCAAAUG